rnacentral:misc_RNA from 1 species
GAAGGUGACUGGCAGGAAAAGGCUUACGAAAAGAUCAAGUCUAUGAAGGAAAUGCAUUACUCAAAGCUCUAUUCUCUAUAUCAGGAAAUUGCUGAUGCACUGGAAGAGAAAUCUCAGCAUCUUACAAAUGAGCAAAUUGAAAAGCUGAAGAUGUUCAAGAUAACGUUGGACCGCAUUAUGCUUUUCUUGCAGCUUAACAAGGAUUAUGUCACACUUGCUCACAAGGAGAAACUGCUUUC